rnacentral:misc_RNA from 1 species
GUGAUAUGGUCAGUUGUGAUUUGUAGGUACAGCAGGACACUAGAGCUACCACCGUUCGUUCGCUCAAAGAGGAUAAGCUUGACGCGUUCAACCUAAAACGAAUGUUGACAAACGGACAGUGGCAGUAGGCACAGCAGUGACCGAUUUCGAUGGAGUUUAUACGGAAAUUUUGGCAAUUAUUCUUGACUACAAUGCACUUUCUUUGAGAACGACAUGCACUAACUACAUACUGACAUAGGAGUAUAUAUGUACAUAUGUAUAUAUGUACGUAUAUUCGUAAGUGAAUUAUGCGAAUGGCAAUUCCAAAACGAAAAUGUCGAAAAAGAACGUAAGAGAAUGGGCGAGAAAGUUUGCCGAAACGUUGAUAAUCUUUCGACGUAGUUUAAUUUUUCAAACCAAAGAAUUUUUUCAAAAUUCCACCUUACAUGGUGUACGUUACAUAGCCGAGUCCGGACGUCCGGUGGGUGAAAAAUUUAUGUGGUUUUGCUUUACAUCAAUUGGAGCUGUGACUGCUUUAGUGAUUAUUAUGAGUUUAUGGGAGAAGUUUCAGACAAAUCCCACCAUUACGGGCUUGGACACCGAUUUCCAUAACCAAAAUGUUGUUUUCCCCACCACUAUUGUUUGUCCGGAAAUACCUUUUGAUCAUGACAAGGCCUAUGAUUUUGCGUACAGAACACUAUCGAAUUAUGACCAUCCAACAGCCACCAUGAUCGCGCCGUUUUUAGAGCUUUUGACCUCUUUGAACUUUGAUAACGUCAAUGAAGCUAAUGCACUGGCCCAGGCGAUCCCAGAAAAUGUAUUAAAGGAAAUGAAUUUGAGAGAAGCAGCAUUUAAGGCUCGCGUCAGCUGUGAGAGUACUCUGGCCGAGUGCAAGUAUCGUGAUGAGCCUAUACCCUGCUGUACCCACUUUGAUACCGUCUAUACUGAGCAUGGGAUGUGUUUUGCCUUUAAUAGCCGUUUCAAGUCAGAGACGAAAGAAGACGUCAGUGGCGCUGCACCGCAUGAUCUCUAUGAAACGGAUAAGAAAUGGGCUUUGUUCUUUAUACCGAAUGGAACCGCAAAUGUCUUUAUUUUUUCAAAUGAGGAAUAUUUUGGUCGCGAUUUUAAUGCACAAAUCGAAUGGGAAGAUAAUCAGAAGGUGGAAGCAAGAAUCUCUAAAAAGAAUACCUACACCACAGAUGAUGCUAGACAGCUUACAAUCGGCCAACGGAAGUGCAUAUUUUAUGACGAGGUCAAAUUGCAGUACUUCCCAGAAGGUUACACAUUCUCAUCCUGCAUGACAGAGUGUCGGAUGAAAAGAGCAAUCAAACUCUGUAAAUGCAAUCCACCAUUUUAUAAGCCAAUACCAAAUGCUCCCAUGUGUGGCGUAUCCCAUUUUUCAUGCUUGGAAAAGUAUAAAGUUAACAUUACAAGUAUAAAGAACUGUAUGCAUUGCGAAUUAAGUUGCUCAAAAACCGUUUUCAAUAUUGAGAAGUUGAUUAAGAGCACGGAAAAGAACGACGAUGACGGUGUUUUAGUGGAAUUUCUUACUUGGCCCAUUAUACGUUAUAAGCGUGAGGUACUCUUUGGUUGGGUUGAUCUAUUGGUCUCCUUUGGCGGCAUAGCCAGUUUGUUUCUUGGAUUCUCGCUGCUAUCGGGUGUAGAAAUUAUUUAUUAUUUUACAUUACGCGCUUGCUGCAUGGUCUACAAAAAUAGGCUUUCAUUUAAAAGAACCAACCUAAGCGGAACAAGUGGAAUGGGCAACUUCAGUCGUGAAAUUUAAUGCAAAAAUAUAGACCUAAGCCGCUGCUCCGAGCUGCGUUAAGCUUAAAAACUCAACUCCCAGAACACGCCAAUGUGAUUAAGCGCAACAAGAACUAUAUGAAAUCGAGGAGGAAAUCAAACGUCGCCCGCCACCCGCAAUCGAUCUCUCG